ensembl:snoRNA
GCAGGAAGCCUGUGAUGUCUUUGCCGUGAUGUCUGAACCUGGCUGAAGGAACUUGUGAAGACGAACCUUUAGGCUCUGAGGCUUCCAGGGGA